UCCCCGGUGGCUCAGAGGUUAAAGCAUCUGCCUGCAAUGUGGGACACCUGGGUUCGAUCCCUGGUUCGGGAA
rnacentral:tRNA from 1 species